AUUCAAGUAGUUUAAAUAAAAUUUUAAUUUGUGGUGUUAAAGAUAUAAUUGUAUUAUCUUGAAUU
rnacentral:tRNA from 1 species